UAGGGAAUCUUCCGCAAUGGACGAAAGUCUGACGGAGCAACGCCGCGUGAGUGAAGAAGGUUUUCGGAUCGUAAAACUCUGUUGUCAGAGAAGAACAAGUUGGAGAGUAACUGCUCCAGCCUUGACGGUAUCUGACCAGAAAGCCACGGCUAACUACGUGCCAGCAGCCGCGGUAAUACGUAGGUGGCAAGCGUUGUCCGGAUUUAUUGGGCGUAAAGCGAGCGUAGGCGGUUCCUUAAGUCUGAUGUGAAAGCCCACGGCUCAACCGUGGAAGGUCAUUGGAAACUGGGGAACUUGAGUGCAGAAGAGGAGAGUGGAAUUCCAUGUGUAGCGGUGAAAUGCGUAGAUAUAUGGAGGAACACCAGUGGCGAAGGCGACUCACUGGUCUGUAACUGACGCUGAGGCUCGAAAGCGUGGGGAGCAAACAG
rnacentral:rRNA from 1 species